UACGUAGGGGGCAAGCGUUGUCCGGAAUCAUUGGGCGUAAAGAGCUCGUAGGCGGUUUGUCGCGUCUGCUGUGAAAACCUAAGGCUCAACCUUGGGCUUGCAGUGGGUACGGGCAGACUAGAGUGCGGUAGGGGUGACUGGAAUUCUCGGUGUAGCGGUGAAAUGCGUAGAUAUCGAGAGGAACACCUGCGGCGAAGGCGGGUUGCUGGGCUGAUACUGACGCUGAGGCGCGAAAGCCAGGGGAGCGAACGGG
rnacentral:rRNA from 1 species